rnacentral:rRNA from 1 species
CCUACGGGAGGCAGCAGUGAGGAAUAUUGGUCAAUGGGCUUACGCCUGAACCAGCCAAGUCGCGUGAGGGAAGACUGCCCUAUGGGUUGUAAACCUCUUUUGUCCGGGAGCAAUUGGCGCUACGUGUAGCGUUAUCGAGAGUACCUGAAGAAAAAGCAUCGGCUAACUCCGUGCCAGCAGCCGCGGUAAUACGGAGGAUGCGAGCGUUAUCCGGAUUUAUUGGGGUUAAAGGGUGCGUAGGCGGAAUGCCAAGUCAGCGGUAAAAGCGCGGGGCUCAACCUCGCUCCGCAGUUGAAACUGGCGUUCUUGAGUGGGCGAGAGGUAUGCGGAAGGCGUGGUGUAGCGGUGAAAUGCAUAGAUAUCACGAAGAACUCCGAUUGCGAAGGCAGCAUACCGGCGCCCAACUGACGCUGAAGCACGAAAGCGUGGGUAUCGAACAGGAUUAGAUACCCUUGUAGUC